GUCAAGAUAAAAGAAAAACGUUGCUAUCUUUCCUAGUUCUCAGCUACCCCGUACUUCCUCAACAAGACAGUCACCCAUGAAAUCUGUUGGAAUAAAAACCUCACAUCUGGCUACCCCUUAUUAAAAUGCUGUUAGUGAAAACCCAGAGACACUGUGACUAAUAUCAACAGUGAUGGCUUUUUUGUUAUUUUGACAUAAGCAUAGUUUAGAAGGCAGGUCUAAGGGAGUAGUUAUUCCUUACUUAGGGCAGAGUGAUGUUCUGAUUGUAACACCUUCAUCCAGCUCCGGUGCAACCUGUGCAAUGUGUCUGGCCUUGGCCUGUGUGCUCAUCCUCCAGCUGCUGGUACAGGUGAAACUUCUAAAAUAAUUAGUUAGCUUCUUUCCAGUAGCUGUGGAACCUUGUUAACUGGGAAUUAAAAUUGCACCCAAGUAUGAUAUGAGUGGAAUUACACUUUUUGAGCGCAACUGUCAAAACAGCCCCCAAAAGAAACUACUUCAUACCACCUUCUGCAUCUUUUGACUUUGACCUGCAAGACUUUUGAAAAGUAGCUGCUCUAGAAACUGUGUGCUCUUCUGUUUGGACUUUUUAUUAUUGAUCUUUUCUGCAUGUUUGUUGGUCUUUUGCUUUAUGUAUUCUCUUUGACAGACUGUAGUGCUUUUUUUCAGUGCAUUUAUUUAGUUUGUUUUCUUCUGCCUUUCUGUCUGCUCUUCAUCUCCAGUCUCCUGAAGAUGCAUAAGAGACCGAUCACAGGAAAAUUUGACUCAAGUUUUCCAACAUGCAACAGACAUUCCAAGGUACGUGUAACCCAGCAGGCUGCAAAAAAUAAAUGGACAAAAUAAAUGGACAAGUCUUCAAGCAACAAGUUUUCCCAGUACAAUCUUCACUUCAGCCAUCAGCAAGCAGAAACUUGACCUUCAGGCUUCAGCCUUACUUUUAUCCAUUGUGCAUUGUAUGCAAUGCUAAGAGAAAGAAAUUAAGACCUUUACAAUACAGCUUGAUGGGAAUAAAAAAGAAAGUGAGAGAAUCAGACCCAUCUAUGAGAUGGAUGAAUGAAGCAAUAGAAAUUGUAUAAAUAUGAUCUGUUGGAGGACGGAAGCAACUGAAAGACAGACAAACACCUAAAAGGUCCAGAAGAAGGAAACAAUUAAGUUAAACACAAACCACUGAAACUAUUAAAAAGUGUUGUUGACUGAUACUGGGUUGACUAGUUUUGCUUGCUGGAGCAGAAGAUGGUUUCAGGCAACAAGGCACACCUGAGGAUGAAUAACCCAAAAGCCCUGAAGAUGGGUAAACAACUGAAGGAAAUUAAUGUAGCUUUAUUGAAGUCAGACAAAAUCAGAUGGGAAAUGUGGCAUUAAUUUUAAGCAUAUGGUAUAAAUGAUAAACCACUGGAAUAAACUAUUGCCUCACCAUCUGCUGAUACUAUCA
rnacentral:lncRNA from 1 species